AUCAGUUACAAUCUAGCCAAUAGGAGGCGGCCACUUGUUGCUUAUCUGAAAUGAUCAAAUUACUCUCGAAACCUCGAGGGAAAUCUAUAAAUACUCACAUCUGAUAGAAGAAAAUCAUGCAAAUUCAAAUAUCUCAUUUUCAAAUGGUUAUUUCUCAUAUUGCUUCGAUUUGAGCAUCAAAAUCAGUGAAUUUAGGAGGUGAAAACACUGACCAGCUUGGUGAGAGAAAUUUGUUGAUCGGAUUUUUAUUGUCAACAUACCCUUUCACAAACUUGCCACUCGCGAAAUGUUGAACAUAAAAUCUCAAAUAAGAAGUUUGGGUUGUGUCACUUGUGAUUGACUAUUGUAAGUACUUAGGCGACUUCUGUUCUUAAGGAACGUUGUUUAGUACACUUACCAUUGCAGCCAAUGGGGACAUAAUUGAGAAGCUAAUUAAGUUCUCCAUGUCGAUUGGAAGAGCUAAAUCCUUGACAGAUGGUACCUAGUAAUAUGCAGCUUUCGUAAGCUAGGCGUGUUUUUCACCAUGCAUGCUGGAAGAGAAGGUCUAGCAUGAAAGUUAAGAGCCAAUUAGGAUAGCCCAAGGAUGACGCCUAAAAACCACACAAUUUACUAUGAGUCAAACCCAUAAUUAAGAGUGAAUUUAGGCAAGUCAUCCUUGGCUACCAAAUCAGGCUCAUCAAUUUCAUACUAGGCCUCUCUUCCUUUCGCU
rnacentral:lncRNA from 1 species